rnacentral:lncRNA from 1 species
AGAGGUUAAGGCCUGGCUUCUGCUCCCGUCGCGUCACGGCGCGUCCGGGUUCAAAUCCGCCUGCCGACCUCUCGGGGUGUUUGAGAGGUGAUGAAAUGGGAGGUGGCCCCCCAUCUUGUGGACGGUGUAGGACGUGAUAAAAUCAACUCGCGAGCUGACCAGGAACUAAGUUGACGCGCCGUUGAUCCGCUAGAUUUGGUUGGAUGCUGGUGGUGAGUUGCCAAACUCAAAGAGUACACUCUGAAGUCGGAUGGGGUGAAUGGCUUCGGGUGCCCCUCUAGCAGGGGAGAGCAGGGAAUUGCCUCGGGUAGGAGGCCACUGGUGAAGCUUAACCACCCUGUAACAACAUCAACUCCCCAUAAUCAAUCCCCUCACGUUGCUCGAAACCCUUGGCAACUAAACGCGCCUUAAAACGCUCCACGCUGCCAUCAUCGCUGUACACCUUGUAUACCCAACGACACGGCAACAAACGAGUACCAGGAGGUGGCUUCUUCAGCUCCCAAGUACUAUUAGCCAUCUGGGCGGCGAUCUCCUCGUCCAUCGCACGCCGCCAGUCGUCUGCAUGUGGACUUGCAAUUGCUUCCUCAAACGAAUUAGGCUCAGGAAUACCAGCAGAGAAAGCAGCGUUAACGCGACCAGUGACAGUGCGACCAGGUUCGUUUCGCCACCAUUCGCCAGGGCGUUUACGCUCUCUAACUGGGUACCUAGUUCCCGCCAUUUCCACAUCAGGCUGAUUGAUUCCUUGCCCGUUCGCACUGCUGGAAGGUCCAGCCCCAGCCGGCGCCCCCUCGCCACCCAAAUGCGGCGAUCCCUCGCCGACGGUGCUACCUGGUGUCCCUUCGCCAGCCCUAGGCAGCGAUCCCUCACCAGAUAAACUAGUGUGAAACUCCUCCUCCUCGUCGGCAUCGGACUCAUAGUCGGAGUCCCCGGCAUUACGCCGCCGGCCGACAUUAGACUCGUCANNNNNNNNNNNNNNNNNNNNNNNNNNNNNNNNNNNNNNNNNNNNNNNNNNGUGACAACCCUGCUUGACGACCAUACUGGUCUUUCAGCUGUUGCGUUUACAGCGACCAAGGAGGAGGUCUACCAGAAGAUGGUGGUAAUGAUAGCGGAACUGGAGCGCGCUACUGGCAGGCAGGUUAAGGAGGUGCGUACAGAUCGUGGCGGGGAGUUCGUUAAUACUCGCACGAAGGCCUAUUUCGCUUCCAGGGGUAUUCUACACGGAACUACGGUAGGCUACACCCCUGAGCAGAACGGAGCUGCAGAACGUUUAAAUCGCACUCUUUUGGACAAGACUAGGGCUAUGCUAGUUGAGUCUGGACUGCCUAAAUCAUUAUGGGCGGAGGCGUUAGCGACAGCCAACUAUCUUAGGAAUGUGUCGCCAACUGCUGGGUCAACCGUCACUCCGUACGAAGCUUUCUUUAACGUUCGUCCGAACGUCAGUCACCUGCGAGUCUUUGGAUGCGUUGCCUACGUCCACGUACCCGACGUCAAGCGCGACAAGUUCGACCCGGUGAGCAGGCGUGGAAUACUUGUCGGAUACGGGAACGGUGGACAGUAUCGUGUACUAUACGAGGACGGCAUUAUUGCCGUAGUUUCCAACAUUCGUUUUGAUGAAUCUAACGUCGGCCGGCGGCGUAAUGCCGGGGACUCUGAUUAUGAGUCCGAUGCCGACGAGGAGGAGGAUUUUCGCACUAGUUUGCCUGGUGAGGGAUCGCUGCCUAAGGCUGGCGAAGGGAUACCAGGUAGCACCGUCGGCGAGGGAUCGCCACACUUGGGUGGCGAGGGGGCGCCGGCUGGGGCUGGACCUUCCAGCAGUGCGAACGGGCAAGGAAUCAAUCAGCCUGAUGUGGAAAUGGCGGGAACUAGGUACCCAGUUAGAGAGCGUAAACGCCCUGGCGAAUGGUGGCGAAACGAACCUGGUCGCACAGUCACUGGUCGCGUUAACGCUGCUUUCUCUGCUGGUAUUCCUGAGCCUAAUUCGUUUGAGGAAGCAAUUGCAAGUCCACAUGCAGACGACUGGCGGCGUGCGAUGGACGAGGAGAUCGCCGCCCAGAUGGCUAAUAGUACUUGGGAGUUGAAGAAGCCACCUCCUGGUACUCGUUUGUUGCCGUGUCGUUGGGUAUAUAAGGUUAAGUACAGCGAUGACGGCAGCGUGGAGCGUUUUAAGGCGCGUUUAGUUGCCAAGGGUUUCGAGCAACGUGAGGGGAUUGAUUAUGGGGAGUUGUUUGCCCCUACCUCUCGUGGUUCGUCGUUGCGUGCUUUAUUAGCAGUUGCCGCAGCCCGGAACAUGACGGUACAUCAGCUCGAUGUGUCUACUGCGUUUCUGAAUGGUGAGCUGAAGGAGGAGUUGUGGAUGGAGCAACCGCCUGGGUAUGCAUCCAGUGACCGGUCGCUUGCGUGCAAGCUGCAGAAGUCUAUUUACGGUUAAAGCAGGCACCCCGUUGCUGGUAUGAAAAACUAUCAGCAGAGUUCGCCAAAUUGGGUCUUUAUCCUUCGAAGUCUGAUCNNNNNNNNNNNNNNNNNNNNNNNNNNNNNNNNNNNNNNNNNNNNNNNNNNNNNNNNNNNNNNNNNNNNNNNNNNGAACUAGGAUUGCGUUUUGGGGGUGUUGGCGACGUUGCUAUGUCCGGGUACAGUGAUUCGGACUGGGCAGGAGACCCAGUUACGCGGCGUUCUACUUCCGGUUACGUAUUCACUCUUAAUGGGGCUGCGAUUAGCUGGAGCAGCCAACUUCAACGUACUGUGGCGGCUUCGUCGGUGGAGGCUGAGUACCAAGCUACAGCAGCGGCUGUUCGUGAGGCUUUGUGGCUUCGCAAGCUGAUGGUUGAUUUGAGCUUGCCUGAGAGCGCGGUGAAAAUCCAGAUAGACUCCCAGGGGGCGCUUAGCUUGGGAAACAACCCGAUUACGUCUGCUCGGUCGAAGCACAUCAACGUGCAGCAUCACAUAGUGCGUGAGAGGGUGAAUAGUGGUGAGGUGCAGUUGGAAUACUGCCCUACGGAGUGGAUGGUUGCGGAUGUGCUAACGAAGGCUCUGGGCGAGGUGAAGUUCAAACGUUGCCGAGAUGCGAUGGGCCUUGUGUGUGAAGUGUGCAGAUGAACUUGGUACUCGUUGGGAUACGGCCCGAGGGGGCGUGUUGAGGAAACGGUCCUCUCCCAACUCGUGUGGUUGUCGACCAGGGGAUUUGACCCCGGGUCUGCGCCUGACUAAUGGGGAAGACUUACCCCAGAACCUUAUGGGCUACCGAUGCAUAUCCGGUAGCUAAGUGAUAGACAUUAGGGCACCGUCAGGACGGCGCAGUGAGAUCGCGGAAUGUACGUGCAGUUAGAUCGCGGAAUGUACGAGUUUUCCGCUAGCGCCGGUAUUUAGGGCGGUGACUGCGCUUAUUUGUUUAUCUCACAACGAUCGGUAUUCCUACAAGGAAUCUCCUCAAGUCCUGCCGAACGCUAACAAUACUCUUUACAUUACUUGUAACAGUUUAUCGUGCUAAAUAUCUUCGCCACCGGCAAUCCUUCCGAAAUAACAAUCAGCGUUAGCCGUCACCGUCGCCAAUUCUUCAAUAGUUCCCGCCAUUUCCACAUCAGGCUGAUUGAUUUCUUGCCCGUUCGCACUGCUGGAAGGUCCAGCCCCAGCCGGCGCCCCCUCGCCACCCAAAUGCGGCGAUCCCUGGCCGACGGUGCUACCUGGUGUCCCUUCGCCAGCCCUAGGCAGCGAUCCCUCACCAGAUAAACUAGUGUGAAACUCCUCCACCUCGUCGGCAUCGGACUCAUAAUCGGAGUCCCCGGCAUUACGCCGCCGGCCGACAUUAGACUCAUCGAAACGAACGUAAGAAACUACGGCAAUAAUGCCGUCCUCGUAUAGCACACGAUACUGUCCUCCGUUCCCGUAUCCGACAAGUAUUCCACAUCUGCUCACCCCUGCUCACCGGGUCGAACUUGUCGCGCUUGACGUCGGGUACGUGGACGUAGGCAACGCAUCCAAAGACUCGCAGGUGACUGACGUUCGGACGAACGUUAAAGAAAGCUUCGUACGGAGUGACGGUUGACCCAGCAGUUGGCGACACAUGCCUAAGAUAGUUGGCUGUCGCUAACGCCUCCGCCCAUAAUGACUUAGGUAGACCGGACUCGACAAGCAUAGCCCUAGUUUUGUCUAGGAGAGUGCGAUUUAAGCGUUCCGCUGCUCCGUUCUGCUCAGGGGUGUAGCCUACCGUAGUCCCGUGUACAAUACCCCUGGAAGCGAAAUAGGCCUUCGUGCGAGUAUUAACGAACUCCCCGCCACGAUCUGUACACACCUCCUUAACCUGCCUGCCAGUAGCGCGCUCCAGUUCCGCUAUCAUUACCACCAUCUUCUGAUAGACCUCCUCCUUGGUCGCUGUAAAACAACAGCUGAAAGACCGGUAUAAUCGUCAAGCAGAGUUAUCACGUAACACGAACCACUAGGCGAAGGUUCAGGCAUAGGUCCACACACAUCCAUUAACAGGCAGGCGGCUGGCAGAGGUUAAGGCCUGGCUUCUGCUCCCGACGCGUCCCGGCGCGUCUGGGUUCAAAUCCGCCUGCCGACCUCUCGGGGUGUUUGAGAGGUGAUGGGAGGUGGCCCCCCAUCUUGUGGACGGUGUAGGACGUGAUAAAAUCAACUCGCGAGCCGACCAGGAACUAAGUUGACGCGCCGUUGAUCCGCUAGACUUGGUUGGAUGCUGGUGGUGAGUUGCCAAACUCAAAGAGUACACUCUGAAGUCGGAUGGGGUGAAUGGCUUAGGGUGCCCCUCUAGCAGGGGAGAGCAGGGAAUUGCCUCGGGAAGGAGGCCACUGGUGAAGCG